AAAAAAAGACUGAUCUCUUUGUUUGUUCUCUUUGUUUUUGAUUUUCUUAAUACUUUAACAAUAUAUCAAAAUUACUAAUUAAGAUUUAAAAAAUUGAUAGAGCAUUACUAAAACAUAAUGGCUUUUAAAGAAAAGAGUAAAAAUGAGAGCAAAAAAAGUGACAAAUCAGAUGGUAAUUUUAAGACUUAAAAUCUAUAAUUACAUCAAAUGAAAAUAUUAUUUAACGCUAAUCACUAAAUAAAUUGAGUAUAAAUAGAAAUACGUAGUAGAAUUUUGUGGUGUAAUAAAUUUCUUUAAUCUCCAUUCAUUUGUGCCAUCAAAAAAAUUUAAAAUUUAUAUAAUAGUCUCGAUGUUGAUGUAUAAAAGAGCCAUAAAGAAAGAAAGUUUAAUGUUGGAUUGUUCAUUUCUUUGAUGGUCAAACUUUCCAAUUCAAAAAUAAAACAGAGGUAAUUUUCAUUGUUCAUAUUUUUAAACAUGUUAGCUGAUAUCUGCAAUAAUUAAUAGAAUUUUAUCAUUUCUAAUUUCAUUUCUUAUAUUGUGUGUUUCUAUUUAUCGAAAUUAACUGAAUGGAAAAAUAACAAAAGAAAUUGAACAUCACACUUUUAAUUGUGUUCACUCUCGCUUUUAUUUUUAUAAAUUGUAUCGGAAUAGUAUCACAUUUUCCUAGAGACUAUUUUAUCAAGAAAGUUAAAAGCUUGAAGUUCAUUUUGAAUCAAUAAUUUUCUAUUCUGUUCAUAACUCAUUCUCUUUACAAUGUAUUCAUUUUUUUAUCAAUAGGAAAAGAACAAACUUGAUGAAGAUUUACCAAUUCAAGAUGCUAAAGACAUGCUUGU
rnacentral:lncRNA from 1 species